rnacentral:rRNA from 1 species
UACAGAGGGGGCAAGCGUUGUUCGGAAUUACUGGGCGUAAAGGGCGCGUAGGCGGCCCGCUAAGUCGAACGUGAAAUCCCCGAGCUCAACUCGGGAACUGCGUCCGAUACUGGCGGGCUUGAAUCCGGGAGAGGGAUGCGGAAUUCCAGGUGUAGCGGUGAAAUGCGUAGAUAUCAGGAAGAACACCAAUGGCGAAGGCAGCUCUCUGGGACGGUACUGACGCUGAGACGCGAAAGCGUGGGGAGCGAACAGG